UCGCAUUCUAAAACCCUAACUUUGGGGUCUGACCGUCUCGUAUCCUAUCCUUGAUAUGGCCCCCGGAACUUCCUUCGCUGUUGGAGGCGUCGAUCCAUCCCCGGCCAAAAGGAAGCGACAACGGGUUAGAGGAGACGACUCUAAUUCUUCUCAGCGAUCUUCCAAGUCAGAUCAUGUGGCCAUCCUCCGUGCCGCAAUCGAGUUUCGGAACCAGACUGGAGAGAACCCAACUAAGGCUAAAAUGCCCGCUUUCUACGAGUUCGUUAAAACUUCUCUCGCAGAACCGCUCUCGCAGGAGCAGAUCAGCAACAGGUUGCGCCAUAUCCGCCAUAGGUUCAUUCAUUCGGACAUGGAUAACACCGAAGACACUGUCCUCAAGCUAGCCGGGCAGCUUUGGUAUGAGGAGAAAGAUAUGGACAAGGGGAAGGAGGAGAAGACGGGACCGAAGAGCAGUAAAGAGAGAAGACAGAAGAAUUCCAUUGCAGUUGACAGCAAUCCACAUGUGGAAAAACGAUACAGUGAGCAGGGAGUGGAUAACACAGUGGAAAAGAGCCACAAUAAAGAGAGAAGACAGAAGAAUUCCAUCGCAGUUGAGGGAUAUCAGAAUGCGGAGAAAGAAGACAAUGAGAAAGGAAAGAUGGGAGUGGGGAACACGGUGGAAAAGAACCACCAGCAUAAGUGCAGCAGCAAAUCUAUCACUGAGUUGGACAGAAAUGCUGAGAAAGAAAGUGGUAAGAAGAACAUCAAAAAAACAAUCAACAAUCCACAAGACUUUGAUGCUGUUGAAGAAGAGAAUCAAGAAAAGAAAAGAGGGAUUCAAGCAGAGCCCAAAUUUUCUUAUUUAGCUCAUAUUGUCAAAGACUAUUGGAAGACUUACGGAUUGAGCAAAACAUUGUUGGAAAUAGGGAUAAAAAAUGUUGACCCACAAAAGGCUGGUUUUUUGGAGGAGAAAUGGGAAAAACAAUUACAAGAAGAGAUGAGAUUUCAGUCGGAAUGGAGGAAGACCUGUGGGGAACUUUUAGCCAUGUUGUUGAAAGCGCAUAAAGACUCGGAUUCUAAAUCAGACUCGGAUUCGGAUUCUACGUUCUUUGCCAUAAGAGCUAAGUGACUUACUGCAUUGGUUCUUCUGCAUCCAACUCCUCCGAUGAUGCGUUCUUUGCCAUAAGAGCUAAGUGACUUACUGCAUUGGUUCUUCUGCAUCCGACUCCUCCGAUGAUGAUUCAUUCCAAGUGACUUUGAGUGCUUUCCUUCUUGCAGACUUGGAUUUCUUCUCUUUCAGGUUAGGGCACUCGUGCUUGUAGUGACCCUUUUUGUUACACCCUAGCAGAUUCACAUGUCAGUGGCGGACACCCCACUAUUGUUCUUAGAGGAGAAUAACAAUUCUUCCAUCGGAGGCACGUUUGGUUGUUUAUAUUGGGGUUUCGGUUUGACUUGGAGAUAUAUUCAUAGUAGUUUUUUUGGUGUGGAACUUGAUUUGUUGACAAUUGCUGGGACAGCAUGUCGGUGUUUAAAUUUAACCAUAGUUUGUUGUGGUGACAUGGCAUGUCGGUGUUUCUCUACUGAUUUAUGUCUGUUUAGUGAAUACACUAAUGUUUAUCUUUUGUGAUCUGAGUA